ACGGCCUUCGGGUUGUAAACCUCUUUCAGCGGGGACGAAGCGCCGAUGAUGGUGGUGACGGUACCCGCAGAAGAAGCACCGGCCAACUACGUGCCAGCAGCCGCGGUAAUACGUAGGGUGCGAGCGUUGUCCGGAAUUAUUGGGCGUAAAGGGCUCGUAGGCGGUUUGUCGCGCCGGGAGUGAAAACACCGGGCUUAACUCGGUGCUUGCUUUCGAUACGGGCAGACUAGAGGUAUGCAGGGGAGAACGGAAUUCCUGGUGUAGCGGUGAAAUGCGCAGAUAUCAGGAGGAACAUCGGUGGCGAAGGCGGUUCUCUGGGCAUUACCUGACGCUGAGGAGCGAAAGUGUGGGGAGCGAACAGGAUUAGAUACCCUGGUAGUCCACACCGUAAACGUUGGGCGCUAGGUGUGGGGCCUAUUCCAUGGGUUCCGUGCCGCAGCUAACGCAUUAAGCGCCCCGCCUGGGGAGUACGGCCGCAAGGCUAAAACUCAAAGGAAUUGACGGAAUCGAAUU
rnacentral:rRNA from 1 species